rnacentral:rRNA from 1 species
GACGAACGCUGGCGGCGUGCUUAACACAUGCAAGUCGAACGGAAAGGCCCUGCUUUUGUGGGGUGCUCGAGUGGCGAACGGGUGAGUAACACGUGAGUAACCUGCCCUUGACUUUGGGAUAACUUCAGGAAACUGGGGCUAAUACCGGAUAGGAGCUCCUGCUGCAUGGUGGGGGUUGGAAAGUUUCGGCGGUUGGGGAUGGACUCGCGGCUUAUCAGCUUGUUGGUGGGGUAGUGGCUUACCAAGGCUUUGACGGGUAGCCGGCCUGAGGGGGUGACCGGCCACAUUGGGACUGAGAUACGGCCCAGACUCCUACGGGAGGCAGCAGUGGGGAAUAUUGCACAAUGGGCGGAAGCCUGAUGCAGCAACGCCGCGUGCGGGAUGACGGCCUUCGGGUUGUAAACCGCUUUCGCCUGUGACGAAGCGUGAGUGACGGUAAUGGGUAAAGAAGCACCGGCUAACUACGUGCCAGCAGCCGCGGUGAUACGUAGGGUGCGAGCGUUGUCCGGAUUUAUUGGGCGUAAAGGGCUCGUAGGUGGUUGAUCGCGUCGGAAGUGUAAUCUUGGGGCUUAACCCUGAGCGUGCUUUCGAUACGGGUUGACUUGAGGAAGGUAGGGGAGAAUGGAAUUCCUGGUGGAGCGGUGGAAUGCGCAGAUAUCAGGAGGAACACCAGUGGCGAAGGCGGUUCUCUGGGCCUUUCCUGACGCUGAGGAGCGAAAGCGUGGGGAGCGAACAGGCUUAGAUACCCUGGUAGUCCACGCUGUAAACGGUGGGUACUAGGUGUGGGGUCCAUUCCACGGGUUCCGUGCCGUAGCUAACGCUUUGAGUACCCCGCCUGGGGAGUACGGCCGCAAGGCUAAAACUCAAAGGAAUUGACGGGGCCCCGCACAAGCGGCGGAGCAUGCGGAUUAAUUCGAUGCAACGCGUAGAACCUUACCUGGGUUUGACAUGGAUCGGGAGUGCUCAGAGAUGGGUGUGCCUCUUUUGGGGUCGGUUCACAGGUGGUGCAUGGCUGUCGUCAGCUCGUGUCGUGAGAUGUUGGGUUAAGUCCCGCAACGAGCGCAACCCUUGUUCACUGUUGCCAGCACGUUAUGGUGGGGACUCAGUGGAGACCGCCGGGGUCAACUCGGAGGAAGGUGGGGAUGACGUCAAGUCAUCAUGCCCCUUAUGUCCAGGGCUUCACGCAUGCUACAAUGGCUGGUACAGAGAGUGGCGAGCCUGUGAGGGUGAGCGAAUCUCGGAAAGCCGGUCUCAGCUCGGAUUGGGGUCUGCAACUCGACCUCAUGAAGUCGGAGUCGCUAGUAAUCGCAGAUCAGCAACGCUGCGGUGAAUACGUUCCCGGG